rnacentral:lncRNA from 10 species
GCUACAUUGAGAAGCUCCCUGUAAGAGGGCUUAGAGGUCUUUUGAAAACAAAAAGUGACUAGCAGCCUGGAAAUGGUGUGUGUGUGUGGUGGGAAGUGCUGCUGCGGAGGCCUGAGCCCGCUGCCAAGAAGGUCAGUAGCCAGUCCUGCCAGGGUUCUGGCUGUGCCGGGACAGUGAAUGGCCACUCCGUCCCAGAUGAGCUGCAGGAAGCGUUUCGAUGUCAUGUGGAGGUGAUGGCGAUUUUCAACUCAUUCCCGUUACAAACAGCCGACCUUCCUACCGAGUUCAAGUACCUUCUGCCUGGCCUGGAAGAACAAUAUCUCUCUGUCUCCCUCUUCCACUGGCCCUCACCUGCCUUCCCCUGAACAUGCAUUUUGCCUGACAGGAGACAGAGGCAGUUGAGAUGGAGUCUUGCUAUAUGGCCCAGCUGGUAAUGCCUAGAUUCUUGAGUCCCUCCCUGGCUCAUCCCUGGGAGCAGCACUGAACCCCUUGUCUGACACCUGUCUGGAAAUGGAGCCUGCACAUUGACCCUAGAUGCUUGCAGCUUGGUCCAGGAGGCCAGCAGGACCAGAGAGAAGACCACAGCGACACAUGGGGAUGGCUGUCCCACAGGCAGAAAUGAGCAGCCGGGAGGAAGCCCAGGCAGCCAGCCACCCAGCUCCCUCCACAUCGUGGCCCUAGAACGGAGUCUUGAAGAAUAAGAAGCCACAGCUUGUCAGGGAAUCAGGCUGGAAAAAUGUUAUGAGACUGAGUAAGACCAGAGAUUCCUCAGCAGUGCCUGGAGAAGACCAGGAGAGGAAGCAGAAGACCCUCCUCAAAGAAGCAGCCUUCACCUCCAGACCUCCCAGCGGGACUUAGACAAUGGGGUUAGGCAGUCACAUGUCUGCACGUGGAAACUUUCUGGGACUGUGCUUGGAUCCUGGCUCUGCCUUUUACUAGCCAUGUGACCUUGGGAAAAUCACUUGACUUCUCCGUGCAGGAUUCCUCAUCUGUAAAAAUGGUCUAAGAUUAGGAGCCACCUCAAGGUUGUUGUAGGAAUUAAAUUAAUUCAUGUUUAUAAAGUGCUUUGAACAGCGUUUGGCACAUGGAGAAUUAAAUGAGCAAACGGAAGAGCAGCAACCCUGAGUUACAUUUCUCAAGACACCGGGGCUCUUGAUGGCACAGCAGCAGCUUGCUAGAGCUUGGUAAAGAGACUUGGGCCUGGUACCUGAAGGGCAAUUCCUUGGCCAUGACAUUGUAGGGAAAGACCUCUAUGGGUGUUGAAAAGACAAGGCGAGGACAAGAAGAGUUGAAAAGGAGCUGUUCUGAAGCCACCUGGCUGUGGAUGGAGGAAGCCACAUGUAGCUUAGGUAGCCUGCUAUUGUAAUUUUUUCUGCAACUGAAGAAUUCGAAAUGGGUUUGGUGGGUAGCGAAGGGCAGAAUCUGGCUUCAAGGUGACAGAGUUUGCAUAGAGAUGGCCUUCUUGAGCAAAGGUAGUGACUCCUACAUUUUUUUUUUUUGUAGAGUUGUGAUACCCAUGAGUUAGUCAGCUUGGGCUAUCAUAACAAAAUACCACACAUUGGUUGGCUUAAACAACAGAAAUUCAUUUUCCUGUAAUUCUGGAGGCUGGAAGUCCAAGAUCAAGGUGACGACAGAGUUGGGUUUCCUCUGAAGCCUCUCUCCUUGGUUUUCAGAUGGGUGUCCUCUUGCUGUCUCUUCAUGUGACUGUCCCUCUGCAUGUGUGCCCCUGGGGACUCUUUCUUAUCUUAUAGUGACACUAGUUCUAUUGGAUUGAAGUGUACCCAUACGACCUCAUUUAAACUUAAUUACAUAUUGUAAGGCCCUAACUUCAAAUACAGUCACAUCCUGAGGUACUGUGUAUUAGGGCUUCAACAUAUAAAUUUUGGGGCAAUCCAGUUCAGCCCAUAAAAUCCCUUUUUGGUUGCUUGAUUCUGUUUAUUUGGUGUCAUGCCUUCCUUUUCCUAAAGAACUUCAUGAAUAGAAUUACUUUCUAAGUGAAAGGAACAAAACUGAUUUUUAUUAAAAAUUAUUUUGAGAUGCUUGUGACAAAUUUUGAAGUAAGUGAAGAUUUUCCUGGAGCUUCUACAAAAUCCUGGCUGAGAAUCCCUGCUUUCUGGACAGUUGAGAAGGAAAUACACUUAGUACAGCUGUUAGAGAGAUAUAGUUGCAACCACUGAGUGCUUAUUAUCUGCCAACUUAAAUAUAUUGCCCAAGGGAAUAACAAAUAUUCUAGUGUUCUUGUUAAGUAUAUUGUCUAAGGUCACACAGCUCUUAAACAACAGCUUCAGGAUUUGAACCUGGAAUCUAUCUGACUCCUAAGUCCAGAUGCUGUUCACCACAUUAGGUUGAAGCAUGGCCAGUGUUCAUAACAUACAACUAUGUCUCCAUAUCUUUUGCUAACCAAUGUUCUUGUAUGUGCAUACCUUACAGGGCAGCCAUUCACCACAAGCCCUACUAGAUGGCUUCCUGUAAUAAGGGUAGAACAGUAGUACUCUCCUUUUGAGAAGUUAUUUGUAAUUUUGUUGGUGGGCUGACAUUUAGGCCCUGCUCUCCAGCCCCAGAGGGGAUCCCAUAACCUAGAUCAGGCCAAUGAUGAUUAUCUCCGUGACUGUAGUGGCUGGUCCAGCGGGGAGGGUCAGGCAGGUAAGCUGGCCCAACCUGAGUCCUUCUUGAGGAUUUUAGAAACUGAAGGUAGGAGAGAAAAAUUCUCUCUUUUCUUCUGGGGAACGGGAUGAAGGUGGUGGGUAGGCAGAGCUGUUGGGAUGUGGAUCCAGGGAUUCUGGAAGUCCUGUCCUCCACCAUGUAAAGAAUACAUCCUGCAGAAGGAGAGAAGGGAGCCAGCACACAGAGAAGCAGAGUCAGGAGAUGGAGAAGGAGAAUCCUGAGAGCCUGAAGGUCCCUGGGUCCAGCCAUUGUCAAGGCCGAGUUCUACCGUCCUUAAGUUGUUUACCUUUCUUUCUUGCUUGCUUCUGUUAGAAGAUGAACACUCAAUGAAAAAUCACCAAACAUCUGAGGAAAGCCAUCAAAAUGAAAUAAACGAAACACACAAGUUCCUAAACACAAGUGAACAGCGUGGGCUGGGUUUUUGUCGCUUGGAACUGGAAACGCUGACGAUAAUGCUGACCUCUGAGCAGACCCACGUGAGGGGCAGCUGUGGUGUGGUGUGAUGAUGCUGGGAUAGGCACUCAGAUGGUUGAGUCUGAGUUUGGCUCUGAUAUUAUAUCAACUGCAUGGGCAGCUGUGGUGUGGUGUGAUGAUGCUGGGAUAGGCACUCAGAUGGUUGAGUCUGAGUUUGGCUCUGAUAUUAUAUCAACUGCAUGGGCAGCUGUGGUGUGGUGUGAUGAUGCUGGGAUAGGCACUCAGAUGGUUGAGUCUGAGUUUGGCUCUGAUAUUAUAUCAACUGCAUGGGCAGCUGUGGUGUGGUGUGAUGAUGCUGGGAUAGGCACUCAGAUGGUUGAGUCUGAGUUUGGCUCUGAUAUUAUAUCAACCGCAUCAUUUUGGGGAAGACACAAUUUCUCAGAAUUUUAUUUAGUUGUAAAAUAAAGAUAAUGAUAUUACAUGCUCUGUCUACCAUCUAGAGUUUUUGUCAAGACAAAC